UACGGAGGAUCCAAGCGUUAUCCGGAUUCAUUGGGUUUAAAGGGUGCGUAGGCGGACUGAUAAGUCAGUGGUGAAAUCCUUCAGCUUAACUAGAGAACUGCCAUUGAUACUGUCAAUCUUGAGUACAUUUGAUGUGGGCGGAAUGUGUCAUGUAGCGGUGAAAUGCUUAGAUAUGACACAGAACACCAAUUGCGAAGGCAGCUAGCUACAGGUUGAUUGACACUGAGGCACGAAAGCGUGGGGAUCAAACAGG
rnacentral:rRNA from 1 species